UACGAAGGGGGCUAGCGUUGUUCGGAUUUAUUGGGCGUAAAGCGCACGUAGGCGGAUCGAUCAGUCAGGGGUGAAAUCCCAGAGCUCAACUCUGGAACUGCCUUUGAUACUGUCGAUCUGGAGUAUGGAAGAGGUGAGUGGAAUUCCGAGUGUAGAGGUGAAAUUCGUAGAUAUUCGGAGGAACACCAGUGGCGAAGGCGGCUCACUGGUCCAUUACUGACGCUGAGGUGCGAAAGCGUGGGGAGCAAACAGG
rnacentral:rRNA from 1 species